CUUAUGCAGAAUGGCAGUCAGCUGAUAAAUAAAAAUGACGAAGAUGCACAGUGUGAGAGAAGAAGAUACAUUGGUACCAAUGAGGCUUUUUGGCACAUCUUCAAUUUUCCCAUUGAUGAGGGGCACCCAGCCAUCAUUCAUCUGAGUGUCCAUCGAGAGCAUGUCCUCUCUAAUUUCUA